CCCUUAGAUGUUCUGGGCCGCACGCGCGCUACACUGAUGCAUUCAACGAGUCUAAAACCUGCUCUGAUAGGGGUGGGUAAUCUUUUGAAUGUGCAUCGUGAUUGGGAUAGAUGAUUGCAAUUUUUCAUCUUCAACGAGGAAUGCCUAGUAAACGCAAGUCAUCAGCUUGCAUUGAUUACGUCCCUGCCCUUUUGUACACACCGCCCGUCGCUCCUACCGAUUGAAUGAUCCGAUGAAUAUCAUGGAUUGAGGAUUAUAGCAGGUUCGCCUGUCUUGAUCUUCGAGAAGUGAAGUAAAUCUUAUCAUUUAGAGGAAGGAGAAGUCGUAACA
rnacentral:rRNA from 1 species